GGGAGUGUAGCUCAGUGGCAGAGCAUUCGACUGCAGAUCGAGAAGUUGGUGGUUCAAAUCCGCCCGCUCCUU
rnacentral:tRNA from 1 species